AGUGAACGCUGGCGGUAGGCCUAACACAUGCAAGUCGAACGGCAGCACAGUAAGAGCUUGCUCUUACGGGUGGCGAGUGGCGGACGGGUGAGGAAUACAUCGGAAUCUACUUUUUCGUGGGGGAUAACGUAGGUAAACUUACGCUAAUACCGCAUACGACCUACGGGUGAAAGCAGGGGAUCUUCGGACCUUGCGCGAUUGAAUGAGCCGAUGUCGGAUUAGCUAGUUGGCGGGGUAAAGGCCCACCAAGGCGACGAUCCGUAGCUGGUCUGAGAGGAUGAUCGGCCACACUGGAGGGGGGACACGGUCAAGACUCCUACGGGAGGCAGCAGUGGGGAAUAUUGGACAAUGGGCGCAAGCCUGAUCCAGCCAGACCGCGUGGGUGAAGAAGGCCUUCGGGUUGUAAAGCCCUUUUGUUGGGAAAGAAAAGCAGCAGGUUAAUACCCAGCUGUUCUGACGGUACCCAAAGAAUAAGCACCGGCUAACUUCGUG
rnacentral:rRNA from 1 species